rnacentral:lncRNA from 1 species
AGGGAUAUCUCCCCUCCCCCGCUCCCUCUGUCUCCCUCUCUCCCUCCCCUCUCCCCUCUCCCAUGAGAGGACACAGCCAGAAGGAGACCGUCUGCAAGCCAAGGAGAGAAGCCUCACCAGCCAUGGAAUCUAUAGGCACCUUGAUGUUGGACUUCCAGCCUCCAGAGCGAUGGAAGCCAACCGUCGGGAGCACACACACCACAUUACAAGGAUCCCAGCCAGGCCCAGGAGGGGAAGCAAGGACACCCUAGAGGCAGAGAGAACUGGCAUUCGGGGUUCGGCAAGAGCAGUUCUGUGAGCUGGCGGAGCCUGGCGUCUGCCUGCGUGACGUGGAGGAACCGCAGGCGGCGACCGCGGACAGAAUGGCGGGCGGGAGGGCAAGGGCUGGGGCCCGGGCUCAUUCCGCAGAGCCUGCGGGUACAGCAGGCUGAGGGGUCAGACUGAGCACAGGGAGCUGAAUAGCGAGCCCCGCCCGGCAGGGGAAAUGAAGGGAGGGUGGUGUGAGAGCUUCUGCCAGGGGCAGAAGGACACCGAGGGACCGCAAGCAGAGCCGAGGGAGUGCGCGCUAGCCCCGGAAGAGGGUGCGCUGGGCUGGCUGCUGAGCUACCCUCAGGAGCUGCAGGGGCUCGAGGGGCUGGAAAUGCUGCGGCAGAAACUGGAAGGGCCCUGCCUAGGAUUUUUCAUGGGCCGAUCUGCUGAAUUCAGCCUAGGAGCUGAGACCAACAUCUGAGUCUCUUCAGCACACAAGUUUGAAAGAAGUCCUAGCAACUUCAAGCUCAGAACUACGGGUGGCAGCAGCUCCCUCUUGACGUCGAAGCCUCCCAUUCCAGAGAGAGUCAAGGCCUGGAUCAAACAAAGCCCACAAGCACCGAUGACUGAGCUGCUGACUACCCCCAGCAUCUCCAACUCAACCUCCUCUUUCUGCCUCUACCCAAAUUUUAAAACUUUCAAACAUGGGUUUAAAAAUGGUAAUGAGUAAAGUUGCAUCCAAGUGUAUCAAAUAAAACUAAAUAUCCAUAAAUGCUGUAAUAAUUCCUGCUUUGAUGCUGAACUAAAGAAUUUUCUGCCAGGCGUGGUGGCUAACACCUGUAAUCCCAGCACUUUGGGAGGCCAAGGCAGGUGGAUCACGAGGUCAGGAGUUCAAGACCUGCCUGGCCAACGUGGUGAAACCCCAUCUCUACUAAAAAUACAAAAAUUAGCUGGGCAUGGUGGCAGGCAUCUGUAGUCCCAGCUACUCAGGAGGCUGAGGCAGGAGAAUCACUUGAACCCGGGAGACAGAGGUUGUAGUGAGCCAAGAUGGCACCACUGCACUCCAUCCUGGGCAACAAGCGAGAUUCCAUCUCAAAAGAAAAAAAAAAAAGAAUUUUCUGUUUAUAUUACAUAUAGUCUCACUUCAUAUUUCAUUUCUCUCACCUCUGAUACCUGGAGUCCUUUGCUAGUACUGAAAUUGAGUAAAGUCAUUCUCAUGAGUUUUAGUAAACUCAAAACUCAAAACUCAUGAAGUUGGCAAAACUCAAAGAAUGCUUUGGUCUAGUUUGACAUUGGCCAGUAUGUUUUUCAUAUCCAGUCAUUCCUUUUUUCCUGGCUGACAUCCUCACUUCCUGCCUGUGGAGGAAAAGUUAAAUAUUAAAUUUGAACUCAAUUGAAUGUGGACACAAACAAUGGUCACCAAGUCCGGGAACAGGUUGUGUGAGUCCCUUGAGGCAUUUAUCCUGCCCUGUUUCGGAGAAAUCUCUAUUUCAAACUAUUCCUAUGUGUUACUUACUGAAAAACAACAGACAAUCGCAAAAACAAGUUGACCUUUUUGUGUUCCUUGAGCCCAGUCACAAAGGGCCCUCAUGACUGGGCCUCAUGCCAAACAACUUGUUACAAAAAGAGCUAGGGUCCCAGACCGCACCAAAGACCCAUGAGACCUCUCCUCGUCUGUGCACAGACUGGUGGCCGACUCUGGAGCCCAGGCUGUUGCUUCCUGGUCUGGUGAUGAAUCCUCCAUAGUCUGGUGAGUGUAAAUAUAUAUAUACAU